rnacentral:rRNA from 1 species
GACGAACGCUGGCGGCGUGCUUAACACAUGCAAGUCGAACGGAAAGGCCCUGCUUUUGUGGGGUGCUCGAGUGGCGAACGGGUGAGUAACACGUGAGUAACCUGCCCUUGACUUUGGGAUAACUUCAGGAAACUGGGGCUAAUACCGGAUAGGAGCUCCUGCUGCAUGGGGGGGGUUGGAAAGUUUCGGCGGUUGGGGAUUGACUCGCGGCUUAUCAGCUUGUUGGUGGGGUAGUGGCGUACCAAGGCUUUGACGGGUAGCCGGCCUGAGAGGGUGACCGGCCACAUUGGGACUGAGAUACGGCCCAGACUCCUACGGGAGGCAGCAGUGGGGAAUAUUGCACAAUGGGCGGAAGCCUGAUGCAGCAACGCCGCGUGCGGGAUGACGGCCUUCGGGUUGUAAACCGCUUUCGCCUGUGACGAAGCGUGAGUGACGGUAAUGGGUAAAGAAGCACCGGCUAACUACGUG